rnacentral:rRNA from 1 species
GUAGGUGGCGAGCGUUAUCCGGAAUCAUUGGGCGUAAAGAGGGAGCAGGCGGCAAUAGAGGUCUGCGGUGAAAGCCUGAAGCUAAACUUCAGUAAGCCGUGGAAACCAAAUAGCUAGAGUGCAGUAGAGGAUCGCGGAGUUCCAUGUGUAGCGGUGAAAUGCGUAGAUAUAUGGAGGAACACCAGUGGCGAAGGCGACGAUCUGGGCUGCAACUGACGCUCAGUCCCGAAAGCGUGGGGUGCAAAUAGGAUUAGAUACCCUAGUAGUCCACGCCGUAAACGAUGAGUACUAAGUGUUGGGGGUCAAACCUCAGUGCUGCAGUUAACGCAAUAAGUACUCCGCCUGAGUAGU